rfam:Aedes albopictus isolate Foshan contig47922, whole genome shotgun sequence.
AAAACAGCCCUUCUGAGGGCUAUAAAACUGUUCCACAAAAGAGAACG